ensembl:lncRNA
AGGUCUGCAGAUGCAGUUAAUCAGUUGGUUGCCAGCGAGUGGAAGCCGCACAGCCUGGCUCUCCGGCUCAACCUCAAACGCAUCACUGUUGCCGUUAUUGGGCCAUGCAUCGCCACGCCCACCAGCAGCUGCUGCCCACCUAGAGGCUCCGCCCUUCUCCCCCUCUCCCCCCCACCCCGCCCCCCCCACCCCUCCCCCAGGCUCGCUCGGCGCUCGCUAGGGUCCGCCGCCUGGAGGAUGCUUGGAAUGUGUCGCGGGCGCAGGAAGUUUCUGCUGGCCACCGUCGCCCUGCUCUUCAUCCCCGCCCUCACCUGGCUCUACCUCACGGCCGGGAACUUCCAAGGUGAGUUGAUGUUGACGUUGACGCGGGCCCUGAUUGGGUCGUUUGCGGGGGUCGGUAUUCCGCAGAGCAGUCACGCUGACCAGUUCUGACUGGUUUUACGUUUGCAUAAAACCAGUCACAACUGGUUUAGCCUCAAAGUAGCCUCUCUUAAAGGGCCCCUAGUCUACCAACAGUUGUGAUGUUUGAGCCAUUACGAACCGUUUCAAAAUCCUCCCGUUAUUGACUCCACUGGUGAAAUGAUGAGACAUUUUGAGCUGUUUCAAAACGUACCCGUUAGUGACAUCACAAGUGGGACCAUGCACACAGCCAGUAGGAUGGAUGGAUCAACCUACCACACUGUCUGGUGGACGGGCUGAUGGCAACCAGCCUGUCGUACCAACUGGCACGUGUGGUUAUUUACUAUUCACCCGCAAUUGAAGCGCAAAUAAUGUGCACCGUGGUAUUUGGCAGUGUGAGCGUUCACGGUUAGAAUCGGGGCUCAUAAUUGCUAAUCAACAUCCCACCCGGUGGUCGUUCAUUUUAUUUGCCCACCUGGUGCUCGCAACGGCGUUGAUAAGCCACGGCGGCGAGCCACUAAGCGGUGAUGUGUGUGCUGGGAUAACACCAAAGGAUUCGCCUCCCUGGUGGAAUUUGGCUUAAUCUUUUCAGUCGUUCAUCAAGAAGUACUUUCUAGUACUGCAACUUUCUUUCCCAACUGGCACGUCUGGUGGUGCAACACGGGCCCGUUGACGCCCCGAAAAUGUCACCAAGUAUAAUGUUUGUUGAGAUAUUUGUGGGACAGUGUGAAGAUUUCCGUUUUGGAAAAGAUUUAUGCACAACAUUAUAAGUCAGUGAGGAAGCACUUGAUUGUGCCUGCCGUGUUUCGAUGCAGUGAUUCCACAACAUAUCGGGGCUGCCUUCCAGCCAAACUAUUGCCGCCAGUCUUUUGACAUGACCUGUCAUUGACACGGACGCGCUCCACCGCACACACUGACAGCAGCGUUCUGGAUCUCCCGGUUUGGUUUUUCCACCAAAACAAUGUGUUAACAGCGGAAUAUCCUCUCUCUGGCACACCGCCAAACUGCUGUGUGUGGGGGGGGAGAAUUUUCUGCACGAAUGUCGUCGAUAUCAAUGUGUAAAGUAUUGAAGGAAGACCAAUUAUAAGUGCCUGUCAACUCAACAUUUUCUUUGUUUCUAUCCAUGUUGAUUCGAUGUCUGCUGAACCCAGUCCCUCAAAAUAUCUUUAAACCAGUAGAGGGAAAGUCCCGAAGAUUAAAAGACAUGAAUUUUAUACGUUAAAUAAGUAUUCAUAUAAAACAUUGAGGCUUUGUUAACGCUAUCGACAGAAUUUGAAUUUCACAAAAUGGCGUCCGUAGAAGUAUAUAUUUUUAAAUGAAACCCUAGGCAUAGUUAUACAAAUGAUAGUCAUUUUAUUCACCUUGCCUCGAUGGAAAGUCAGUUUCUCCUUUUUUUUUAUUAAUUUUUUUUGCUCCACGAUAAGAAGAACUCCCAGAAUAGCCUGGCUGGUUAUUUUCUUCCGAGGUGAAGGACUAAAUGAACUACUGGGGCCUGCCUGAAGUUGAUUACUUCGAGUCGUUCUGUCUUUUCUCUUUCCUUGCCUCGGCGCACUCUCAAAGCUAAUUUAAAAUGACUUUGUUUUGAAGAGACUGACAUUCUGCGCCAGUGCCAUUAUUAAUUAUGAUUAAUUUGACUGUUUUGACUUCGAGGGAUUGGGGGAGGGGGGGCCACAGUCAUGGGGAGGAGAACUUCCCAUGGCCCAAGUUGCCAAGGUCCUGGGGAGUAAUUAAUUUGAUUGGCAGUAAACUCAUGGCAGUAUGAAAGUAAUUUUUUUUUUUUUUUGGUUUGGGGGGGGGGGGGGGGGGGGGGGGGGGGGGGGGGGGGGGGGGGGGGGGGGGGGGGGGGGGGGGG